rnacentral:rRNA from 1 species
UACGAAGGGGGCUAGCGUUGCUCGGAUUUACUGGGCGUAAAGCGCGCGUAGGCGGAUAUUUAAGUCAGGGGUGAAAUCCCGGGGCUCAACCUCGGAAUUGCCUUUGAUACUGAAUAUCUGGAGUUCGGAAGAGGUAAGUGGAAUUCCAAGUGUAGAGGUGAAAUUCGUAGAUAUUUGGAAGAACACCAGUGGCGAAGGCGACUUACUGGUCCGAUACUGACGCUGAGGUGCGAAAGCGUGGGGAGCAAACAGG